CACCAAUCAGGCUCUUGAGGACUGGAGUUGCCUACCCCUGCUCUAAAUGUUUAACACAGCCGUUCACUAAGGUUCAUUUUGAAGAGGUGGAUACAGCACAAAUGUUCUUUUCUUUGUUUUUAAAAGGUCUGGUUCCGUGUUAGAUAACCAAAUCACGAGAAAAGCCAAGUAUCCAGUCUGCCAGGCCAGGAAAGCAGCUAUAAGCAGCCGGCUGUCUAGCUGUUGAACUGUCUGGUUUCACAGCGCCUCAGAAUGGAACCUGACUGGAAGUCUAUGGCAGGAGUGGACGAAAUAACUUCUGGUUUUAAUUGGCUGAUCUCUCAGUCCAUCACCAUCUAGCAUAACCCUUAGAACCUCCCGCCUACAUUGUGGACUUAAAAGUGUGAGCAGCGCAAGUAAUUUAAACAAGGAAGUGACUUCGGAAAAUCAAAGUAUGAAUCUUAGAAAUAGGCAUAUUUUUGGGCUUCCCAAAAAUAAUAUUGUCAAUGUGACAGAAUAUUUAUAUUGAUUGACAAUUUAGCAGCUGUAGCAGGCUCGCUCUCUCUCCUGCGUCAAUUUUAAACACACCCCUUUCAAGUUCCACUUUGUUCUAUGUGCCAGAAAUUCAAGCCUGAAGACGAGGUUACUUCUCUCUAAACUUGCUGUUCAGUUUCAGCAGGAGGUGACUUUCAAAGUGAAUCGAGUCUAACCUGGCUCGCUUUGCAGUGAACAGCAGUCCAGAACAGCUAAAAAGAUGUCCACAGGCAGGCCUGUGUUCAGUUUGAAGGACAGCUCCUUUAUGUAUGGAAAGGAAUGAAGCAAGUCUUGUCUCUCACACCCGUCCAGCUCCCCUGUACCUUGUGACCUUUUGGAUAUCAGUGUUGAGAAGAAAUCAUCUUCAUCAGAUGAAUGCUGCCUCUGUUGCUCUGUCUGAUCCUCUGUCAUUGUAUAAAGAUGCUGCUUCAGGUAGACCAAACCUGUAUAGUGGCAAAUACACAACAUACACAUAUUGAACGUUUCAUAAAAUUCUGCUUUAUGUGGCAACUUGGCUCAUAUCAGUGACAUUACAAUAGCCUAAACACAGAC
rnacentral:lncRNA from 1 species